rnacentral:rRNA from 1 species
UACGGGAGGCAGCAGUGGGGAAUAUUGCACAAUGGGCGCAAGCCUGAUGCAGCCAUGCCGCGUGUAUGAAGAAGGCCUUCGGGUUGUAAAGUACUUUCAGUCGUGAGGAAGGUGUUAAGGUUAAUAACCUUAGCAAUUGACGUUAGCGACAGAAGAAGCACCGGCUAACUCCGUGCCAGCAGCCGCGGUAAUACGGAGGGUGCGAGCGUUAAUCGGAAUUACUGGGCGUAAAGGGCACGCAGGCGGUUAAUUAAGUUGGAUGUGAAAUCCCCGGGCUUAACCUGGGAAUGGCAUUCAAGACUGGUUAGCUAGAGUCCUGUAGAGGGGGUAGAAUUCCAUGUGUAGCGGUGAAAUGCGUAGAGAUGUGGAGGAAUACCGGUGGCGAAGGCGGCCCCUGGACAAAGGCUGACGCUCAUGUGCGAAAGCGUGGGGAGCAAACAGGGAUUAGAUACC